AGUGAACGCUGGCGGUAGGCCUAACACAUGCAAGUCGAACGGCAGCACAGUAAGAGCUUGCUCUUACGGGUGGCGAGUGGCGGACGGGUGAGGAAUACAUCGGAAUCUACUUUUUCGUGGGGGAUAACGUAGGGAAACUUACGCUAAUACCGCAUACGACCUACGGGUGAAAGCAGGGGAUCUUCGGACCUUGCGCGAUUGAAUGAGCCGAUGUCGGAUUAGCUAGUUGGCGGGGUAAAGGCCCACCAAGGCGACGAUCCGUAGCUGGUCUGAGAGGAUGAUCAGCCACACUGGAACUGAGACACGGACCAGACUACUACGGGAGGCAGCAGUGGGGAAUAUUGGACAAUGGGCGAAAGCCUGAUCCAGCCAUACCGCGUGGGUGAAGAAGGCCUUCGGGUUGUAAAGCCCUUUUGUUGGGAAAGAAAAGCAGCAGGUUAAUACCCCGCUGUUCUGACGGUACCCAAAGAAUAAGCACCGGCUAACUUCGUG
rnacentral:rRNA from 1 species